GCCUCCGUAGCUUGGAGGAAUGGAAGCGUCUAUCUAGUAAAUAUGGAGUCGUGGGUUCGAAUCCCACCGGAGCA
rnacentral:tRNA from 1 species